UGGCGCAUUGGAUUUCCUGAAAGAACUUAAGAAUAUUCCCAUGACCCUGGAAUUGCUACAGUCCACAGGAACUGGAAUGUCUGUCAAUGCUAUUCGUAAGCAGAGUACCGAUGAAGAAGUCACAUCUCUAGCCAAAUCUCUCAUCAAAUCCUGGAAAAAAUUAUUAGAUGGACCAUCAACUGAUAAAGAUCCUGAAGAAAAGAAAAAAGAACCUGCAAUUUCAUCACAGAAUAGCCCUGAAGCAAGAGAAGAAAGUAGUUCCAGUAGCAGUGUAAGCAGCAGAAAGGAUGAGACAAACACUCGAGAUACUCAUGUUUCAUCUUUUCCUCAGGCACCAAGCACUUCUGAUUCUGUGCGAUUAAAGUGUAGGGAGAUGCUUGCUGUAGCUCUCUGGACAGGAGAUGAUUAUGUUGCUAUUGGAGCUGAUGAAGAAGAACUGGGAUCUCAGAUUGAAGAAGCUAUAUAUCAAGAAAUAAGGAAUACAGACAUGAAAUACAAAAACAGAGUACGAAGUAGAAUAUCAAAUCUUAAAGAUGCAAAGAAUCCAAAUUUAAGGAAAAAUGUGCUGUGUGGGAAUAUUCCACUAUUUGCUAGAAUGACAGCAGAGGAGAUGGCUAGUGAUGAGCCAAAGAAAUGAGAAAAAACCUGACCAAAGAAACCAUCAGGGAACAUCAGAUGGCCAAGACUGGUGGGACCCAGACUGACUUGUUCACUUGAGGCAAAUGUAAAAAGAAGAACUGCACUUAUACACAGGUGCAAACUCAUAGUGCUGAUGAACCAAUGACAACAUUUGUUGUAUGUAAUGAAUGUGGAAAUUGGUGGAAGUUUUGUUGAGUUUGGAAGAAUUGACAAGGUAUCUGGACCAU